AUGGAUUCCUUCUCCAAACAGUACAAGAGCUACUCCCACUCUGCCUCCGACCUCCCUCCUCCCCCACAUGGCGAGUGUACUGCUCCCUACAACGCCCAUACCAUUCUUUCUCGCCUGGAUGCAUCUGGUCUCUCUUCAAUUACCGGUCAGCACCAAUGCUGCAAACAAAAAAAGGGCCCUGUGAUAGGGCAUCCAUCUCUUUUCAUCAAAGUCGCCGUCGUCCAUCUGCGUCGAGGCCACCCUGCCAGUGUAAAAUUCUGCUCUCAAAGGUGUCUGUUAUUGUGUAGUUUCAGAAAUCCUUCAGGAAAAAAAGAAAAAGAAAAAUGGAGCAGGAGUCAGAGGCCUCAAGCCCUCUCUCCACUUCGUGGCUUCUUGUUCUCAAAGCACAAGCUGCUCUUGCUACUAUUAGUAAACUACUUCUGCUCACUAUAA
rnacentral:rRNA from 1 species